AUAGCUGAUUGCACCAACAAAUGGUUGAUGCAAUAUUGACUCUGUCAAAUAAAAUUCUAGGUAGAAUUAUGAUAAUGACAUUGUCUGCCUAUAUGUCUUGACCAAAUUACGUGCCAGCAGUCGCGGUAAUACGUAGAAGACUAGUGUUAUUCAUCUUUAAUAGGUUUAAAGGGUACCUAGACGGUAAAUCAAGCCUUCAUAGGGACUAAUUUACUAGAGUUACUUACGAGGGGGUAUUAAAGUACUGCAGGUGUAGAGAUGAAAUUCUGUCAUACCUCUUUUCAAAAGAAAAAUUAUGGCACAGGUAUAGGUGAAAGCAUCCCCUUAUGUGAUAACUGACGUUGAAGGACGAAGGCUUUGUGUCGCGAACAGGAUUAGAUACCCCAGUAGUCAAAGCAGAAAAUGAUGAAUGUCAUAGAUUAGAUAUAUAAUUUAUUCUAUAAAUGAAAAUGUAAGCAUUCCACCUCAAGAGUAAUUUGGCAACAUUGGAACUGAAAUCAUUAGACCGUUUCUGAAACCAGUAGUGAAGUAUGUUGUUUAAUUUGAUGAUCCGCAAAAAACCUUACCACAAUUUGAAUAUUUAUAUCUAUCUUUUUUUUCGUAAACAAAUAAAAAGGUAAUAUAUUUACAAGCGUUGCACGGCUGUCUUCAGUUAAUGUCGCGAGACUUUGGUUAGUUCCAUUUAAUUAACGUAAACCCUUACUUUAUUUUUAUAUGAAGUAGUUCCCCACUAUAUUGGAUAUGAUAACAGGGACUAGGACAAGUCAUCAUGGCCUUAAUAUUGU
rnacentral:rRNA from 1 species